rnacentral:rRNA from 1 species
GCGAACGCUGGCGGCAGGCUUAACACAUGCAAGUCGAGCGGGCAUCUUCGGAUGUCAGCGGCAGACGGGUGAGUAACACGUGGGAACGUACCCUUCGGUUCGGAACAACUCUGGGAAACUGGAGCUAGUACCGGAUACGCCCUUAUGGGGAAAGGUUUACUGCCGAAGGAUCGGCCCGCGUCUGAUUAGCUAGUUGGUGGGGUAACGGCCUACCAAGGCGACGAUCAGUAGCUGGUCUGAGAGGAUGAUCAGCCACACUGGGACUGAGACACGGCCCAGACUCCUACGGGAGGCAGCAGUGGGGAAUAUUGGACAAUGGGCGCAAGCCUGAUCCAGCCAUGCCGCGUGAGUGAUGAAGGCCUUAGGGUUGUAAAGCUCUUUUGUCCGGGACGAUAAUGACGGUACCGGAAGAAUAAGCCCCGGCUAACUUCGU